rnacentral:rRNA from 1 species
UACGUAGGUGGCAAGCGUUGUUCGGAAUUAUUGGGCGUAAAGGGCGCGUAGGCGGUUUGUUAAGUCGGCUGUGAAAGCCCGGGGCUCAACCCCGGAGGGUCAGCCGAUACUGGCAGACUAGAGUACGGAAGAGGUAGCUGGAAUUCCCGGUGUAGCGGUGAAAUGCGUAGAGAUCAGGAGGAACACCCGUAGCGAAGGCGGCACUCUGGGCCGAUACUGACACUGAGGAGCGAAAGCGUGGGGAGCGAACAGG